rnacentral:ncRNA from 2 species
CCCUCCGAAGUUUCCCUCAGGA